AUUGAACGCUGGCGGCAGGCCUAACACAUGCAAGUCGAGCGGUAGAGAGGAGCUUGCUUCUCUUGAGAGCGGCGGACGGGUGAGUAAUGCCUAGGAAUCUGCCUGGUAGUGGGGGAUAACGGUCGGAAACGGACGCUAAUACCGCAUACGUCCUACGGGAGAAAGUGGGGGAUCUUCGGACCUCACGCUAUCAGAUGAGCCUAGGUCGGAUUAGCUAGUUGGUGAGGUAAAGGCGCACCAAGGCGACGAUCCGUAACUGGUCUGAGAGGAUGAUCAGUCACACUGGAACUGAGACACGGUCCAGACUCCUACGGGAGGCAGCAGUGGGGAAUAUUGGACAAUGGGCGCAAGCCUGAUCCAGCCAUGCCGCGUGUGUGAAGAAGGUCUUCGGAUUGUAAAGCACUUUAAGUUGGGAGGAAGGUCAGUAGCUUAAUACGUUGCUGAUUUGACGUUACCGACAGAAUAAGCACCGGCUAACUCUGUGCCAGCCGCCGCCGUAAGAC
rnacentral:rRNA from 1 species